UACAGUAAUGAUAUUCUAGUUAAUUCCACACUGACUGAAAUGAUUGAUUCAGUAAGUGUGGAAGAACUUGACUGGUCUGUAAUUCCAGCUGAACACCUCUGGUGUGUUUAAAUACAGACCUUGAGCCAAAAACUUAAAAUCAAACAUCAUUAUAUGCUUAAACAUUGAGAUUUAUACUAAUGGAAAUGACUAAAGUAAUCAAACCUGUUCUUUAUAAGGGGGUGUCCCAAUACACACACCAAAUAUAUGUCUCAUGAUUUUGUGAAGUUUUGAUAAGCCCACAUCAUGCACUCAUCCCUUCCUUCCCUUCACUAGGCUGCUUAACAGGUGCUUCGGAUUUUUCAGACGUGCACUAAUUGUAGACAUAGGAUCUUAUAUGUUUCAGGUGAUUGAAGUGAACCGGAUUUUUCGACACACAGUGGUGUGUUGCGUAUGCAAAACGGUCUCAUCGAAUGGCGUUUAAAGAGAAACAAUUCCCGACGUGUUUUCUUUGCAUUUGGCUUGGCUUUAUUAAAGUUAGUGGUUUUGUGAUAUUUAAUGAGGGAAAAGGUGUUGAUUCAGCCGGCUCUUUUAAUAAAAGUGCACGGACAAGCGAGUCAUUUGAUCGAGGUGACGAGAAGCUGAAACCUGGAGCACAUGUCGGGCGCCUUCUUAUUUGGCAAGACCAAGCUUCAGAAUCACAGGGUGGUGAGAGUGUCCGUGUUUCGUCGGAGCUCAGUUCAUGCAGUCAACCCGAUGAGGACGCAUACCAAUCAGAUUAUUCAGGCUGGAUGAAACCACAAUCUCUUUGGGGACAGGUUUACAGUCUAAACAAAUCUCCAUACACCAACAGUGGAAAGGCUACUUGGAAUGACACCCAAGGUGAAUUGUGAUGGAGAUUCAAUGACGUUGACAAUUCAUGAAGCGUCCCACCAAUUCCAUUGUCACAGUUGCCCUCAGAAUGUGGCCAUAGGUUCUUGAGAACUUGGAGAGACUUUGUUUUAAUUAUACCAUAUGAUGGAUGUUAUGUAAUGCAUGAGGUUUGCAUUUAUAUUUUAAUGUAAAUCAAGUAUAGCGCAUAUUAUCCUUUCUGACCAUUCCCCUUGUGGUUUCAGAAAGACACUUUUGAUCUUCCCUUACUUUGGUUGGGGAUUGCAUGUCAAAAUGUCUUGUUCCUUACUGA